UACAGAGGUCCCAAGCGUUGUUCGGAUUCAUUGGGCGUAAAGGGUGCGUAGGCGGCGCGGUAAGUCGGGUGUGAAAUCUCGGGGCUUAACUCCGAAACUGCAUUCGAUACUGCCGUGCUUGAGGACUGGAGAGGAGACUGGAAUUUACGGUGUAGCGGUGAAACGCGUAGAUAUCGUAAGGAAGACCGGUGGCGAAGGCGGAUCUCUGGACAGUUCCUGACGCUGAGGCGCGAAGGCCAGGGGAGCAAACGGG
rnacentral:rRNA from 1 species